rnacentral:other from 6 species
AUCUCCCUGCCUUGCAAGUGAUGGCCGGCAGUGUUUUGAGCCAACACUUAUUUGAAUGGGAACCGGCCCUGAAGACGGUGUGCAUGCCCUCUUGAGAGGGAAGCCUGAAGUCUUUAUCACGGUACCCACCUGGGUUAUCAGGUUCAAAUAGUUGCGGCCACACGGCAAGGCGGGGGGGUU